UACGAAGGGUGCAAGCGUUACUCGGAAGUACUGGGCGUAAAGCGUGCGUAGGUGGUUUGUUAAGUCUGUUGUGAAAGCCCCGGGCUCAACCUGGGAAUGGCAAUGGAUACUGGCAGGCUAGAGUGCGGUAGAGGGUAGUGGAAUUCCCGGUGUAGCGGUGAGAUGCGUAGAGAUCGGGAGGAACACCAGUGGCGAAGGCGGCUACCUGGACCAGCACUGACACUGAGGCACGAAAGCGUGGGGAGCAAACAGG
rnacentral:rRNA from 1 species